rnacentral:rRNA from 1 species
GUGGGGAAUCUUGCGCAAUGGGCGAAAGCCUGACGCAGCCAUGCCGCGUGAAUGAUGAAGGUCUUAGGAUUGUAAAAUUCUUUCACCGGGGACGAUAAUGACGGUACCCGGAGAAGAAGCCCCGGCUAACUUCGUGCCAGCAGCCGGGGUAAUACGAAGGGGGCUAGCGUUGCUCGGAUUUACUGGGCGAAAAGGGAGCGUAGGCGGAUAGUUUAGUCAGAGGUGAAAGCCCAGGGCUCAACCUUGGAAUUGCCUUUGAUACUGGCUAUCUUGAGUAUGGAAGAGGUAUGUGGAACUCCGAGUGUAGAGGUGAAAUUCGUAGAUAUUCGGAAGAACACCAGUGGCGAAGGCGACAUACUGGUCCAUUACUGACGCUGAGGCUCGAAAGCGUGGGGAGCAAACAGGAUUAGAAACCCGGGUAGUCC